rnacentral:ncRNA from 1 species
CGGAGAUAGCUGGUUCUCCUCGAAAUAGCUUUAGGGCUAGCCUUGAGGGAAGAUAUGUGGGGGUAGAGCACUGAAUGAGGUAGGGGCCUAACCAGGUUACUGAACUCUAUCAAACUGCGAAUACCAUGUAUUAAUACUCAGGAGUCAGACUACGGGAGCUAAGUUCCGUGGUCAAAAGGGAAAGAGCCCAGACCGACAAUUAAGGUCCCAAAGAUAUAGUUAAGUGGGAAACGAUGUGAAUUUGCGUAAACAACCAGGAUGUUGGCUCAGAAGCAGCCAUUCAUUCAAAGAGUGCGUAACAGCUCACUGGUCGAGUGAAUUUGCGCGGAAAAUUACCGGGGCUAAACUAUACACCGAAAUUACGGAUUUGUAAAUGAAAAUUUAUAAGUGGUAGAGGAGCAUUCUGUGGUAGGGCGAAGCUAAAGCGAGAGCAUUAGUGGACGAAGCAGAAGAGAGAAUGCUGGAAUAAGUAGCGAGAGCGAGGUGAGAAUCCUUGCCGUCGAAAGUCUAAGGUUUCCUGGGGAAGGUUCGUCCGCCCAGGGUAAGUCGGGACCUAAGGAGAGGCCGAAAGGCGUAUCUGAUGGAUAGCAGGUGGAAAUUCCUGCACUAUAGCCAUACUUAAAAGAUGCAAGGGACGCAGGAGAGGAAGAUAACCGAGGAAGAGGAAAAACUCGGAUCGAAAGAUGGAGUGAAAAUAUAAGUAACGAAGUAUCAAGAAUCACACUGACGAGAAAAGCUUGUAGAGAUUGUAUGGAAAUACCCGUACCGCAAACCGACACAGGUAGAUGAGGAGAGGAUCCUAAGACGAACGGGAGAAGCAUUGUUAAGGAACUCGGCAAAAUAACCCCGUAACUUCGGGAGAAGGGGAGCCUAUGUAAAAGUAGGCCGCAGUGAAAAGGCCCAAGCAACUGUUUAACAAAAACACAGGUUUCUGCUAAAUCGAAAGAUGAAGUAUAGGAGCUGACGCCUGCCCAGUGCUGGAAGGUUAAGGGGAAAUGUUAGGAGCAAUCCGAAGCAUAGAACUGAAGCCCCAGUGAAC